AUUGAACGCUGGCGGCAGGCCUAACACAUGCAAGUCGAACGGCAGCACAGAAGAGCUUGCUCUUUGGGUGGCGAGUGGCGGACGGGUGAGUAAUGUCUGGGAAACUGCCCGAUGGAGGGGGAUAACUACUGGAAACGGUAGCUAAUACCGCAUAACGUCGCGAGACCAAAGUGGGGGACCUUCGGGCCUCACACCAUCGGAUGUGCCCAGAUGGGAUUAGCUAGUAGGUGGGGUAAUGGCUCACCUAGGCGACGAUCCCUAGCUGGUCUGGGAGGAUGAACAGCCACACGAGAACUGAGACCCGGUCCAGACUCCUGCGGGAGGAAGCGGUGGGGAAUAUUGCACAAUGGGCGCAAGCCUGAUGCAGCCAUGCCGCGUGUAUGAAGAAGGCCUUCGGGUUGUAAAGUACUUUCAGCGGGGAGGAAGGCGGUGAGGUUAAUAACCUCGCCGAUUGACGUUACCCGCAGAAGAAGCACCGGCUAACUCCGUGCCAGCCGCCGCCGUAA
rnacentral:rRNA from 1 species